UAUAGCUGGAGUUAAGGGGACCAUGUUGAAGCAUGCAGGGGCUAGCAGUUGUUGGAUGCUGAUACCAUUUCAGGCUUGAAGAAUCAGGAAGAGGAAAUAGUGUUAAGAGAACAUAAUAAGAGCUGCAACCAUGGAGAAUGAGCUGCUCAUAAGGGAUUGCAGUCAUGGAUAGAAGCAGCCACUGCCAGAGAUGUGAUUUGAAGCAGAAGGAAGAGGGGACUUCUUUCUCAGGUGACCCCAGCUCUCAAGAUCCCUCGCUGUGAAAGCCAGGGGAAGACUGAAAAAACUCAUCCUGUGGAAGGGUAAAGAAAUGAUAAAAUGAAGUGUGCUUCCACUCCCAAGAGCACCGACCACACGUUUCCUCAAAAUGCUGAAAGAGUUUAAGCUUUCACAGAUGUUGUGUCUCAAAGCACCAGAACAAUGCCUUGAGCAUGUGAAGAACUUAAUAUAUGACUGCUGAGCAACUGGAUUCUGGAAAUAAGUAAAGUAAUAAUGACAUAAAA